CACACCAUGGGAGCGGGGUGCACCAGAAGUAGGUAGGCUAACCGCAAGGGGGCCGCCUACCACGGUGCGCUUCGUGACUGGGGUGAAGUCGUAACAAGGUACC
rnacentral:rRNA from 1 species